rnacentral:rRNA from 1 species
UACGUAGGGGGCUAGCGUUGUCCGGAAUCAUUGGGCGUAAAGAGCGUGUAGGCGGUCCGGUAAGUCCGCUGUGAAAGUCGGGGGCUCAACCCUCGAAUGCCGGUGGAUACUGUCGGGCUAGGAGUGCGGAAGAGGCGAAGUGGAAUCCUGGGUGUAGCGGUGAAAUGACGCAGACUAUCAGGAGGAACACCUAUUGCGAAGGCAGCUCGCUGGGACGUAACUGACGCUGAGACGCGAAAGCGUGGGGAGCAAACAGG